AAUAGAUACCCGGGUAGUCCACGCCGUAAACGAUGAGUGCUAAGUGUUAGGGGGUUUCCGCCCCUUAGUGCUGCAGCUAACGCAUUAAGCACUCCGCCUGGGGAGUACGGUCGCAAGACUGAAACUCAAAGGAAUUGACGGGGGCCCGCACAAGCGGUGGAGCAUGUGGUUUAAUUCGAAGCAACGCGAAGAACCUUACCAGGUCUUGACAUCCCAUUGACCGCUAUGGAGACAUAGCUUUCCCUUCGGGGACAGUGGUGACAGGUGGUGCAUGGUUGUCGUCAGCUCGUGUCGUGAGAUGUUGGGUUAAGUCCCGCAACGAGCGCAACCCUUGUUCUUAGUUGCCAUCAUUUAGUUGGGCACUCUAAGGAGACUGCCGGUGACAAACCGGAGGAAGGUGGGGAUGACGUCAAAUCAUCAUGCCCCUUAUGACCUGGGCUACACACGUGCUACAAUGGACGGUACAAACGGUUGCCAACCCGGCGAGGGGGAGCCUAAUCCGGAUAAAACCCGUUCUCAGUUCGGAUUGUAGGCUGCAACUCG
rnacentral:rRNA from 1 species